GAGAUCUGUUUGUAACCUGGUUCACCAUUCAAUAUGAACUUGAGGUUCCAUGCCAGUGCUACAAGGAAACUGCCGACAUGG
rnacentral:snoRNA from 1 species